GUGUCAUUUGAAAGAAGAGCAGGUUACCACUCUCCCAUGACAAGGAUGGAACACAU
rnacentral:snRNA from 1 species